AAGGGCCUUAUUCUUAAAUCUUUGUGAUUCCUAAUCAUUUCCAUAGCAGUAGUGAUCACUGCUUAACAAAGAUGCAGACAUUAAUAGAGGAGAGGAGGCUGAUGUUGGAUCUAUGAUGACCUCUGGUGCCGUAUGAGUCGGGGAUCAUGAUCACAGGUCUGGGAGUCUGAGGUCCACAUCUUAAAAUAUCUAGAAUAUGCCGAUCAUCUCUGUGCCAAAUGCUAAAACUAAUUUAUUUCUAGAAUUAGAUAAAAUAUCAAUAAAAAUAAAUUUGAAAGUCAUUUUCUAAUCAAGACAUAAAUUACAUAACAAGAAUACUAAAACUACCUACCAAACAAUAGCUCUUUCACACUUGAUGCCUGCGAUGCCAUGCCCCGUGAGCUCAAAUUGGAGACAAUGCUUUUGGUAGGGUCAGAGCCAUGAAAUAGUAUAGGUUAUUAUAUAUUUAGGUGGGUGAUGAGCAGAGGGGUAAUUUCAAGUAUUAAAAUGUGUGAAUAAAUUAACUGAAUGCCAAUAUUUUUAUAUUCUGUUCUACUUUAAACUCUCAGAAUGGAUUUUCUGCAGCUGAUUUUCUAUAUUCUGUUUUCUUCGGGUAAGCAGAAACAGAUGCCUUCCUCACUGGUCACCAGGUUCAAGGUCCCUCAUAUGUGUCAGGUGCAUAGUCACCAACAAAGGCCAACUUCACAUCAAUGGGUGGAUCGUACCUCGGCCUAAGCUCCAGGAUUGAUUGUGCUGUUAGAGUCACAGCUACAACCGUGAGUAAUAAUUACAGUCUCACUUUCUGAAUGUCAUUUAAAAAGGAUAUUCCAUACAGAUAUUUGAUCUGCUUAUAGUGUCCAGAAAAAAGCUUGUUGUCACCAACCUAGCUAGCACUACCUAUAAUUUGUACACACACACAUACAAAAAAAUGCCAGAUGUCUUGGACACAAAAGUCAAAGUGAACUUGGGUCCCCUUGAUAGUUCUGUGUUGCGUUGGUGACAGGAUACAAGCAUUGUGUUAUUGAUUUUGGUAUUCAUGGGCUUCGCUUCUAUUGUUGCAAUUUCAUAUAUUAAAAUUAGAAAAAGAAUCAAUGAACAAGUAUACAUUUCAACAGUUAAGCAUUAUUCAAUUAUGUAAAUGUCACAAAGGAAAGCAACCUAUCAAGCUAAAUUAAAAAUAUUGAAACCAAUUCAGGGUAACUUGGGGAAAAGGGCCGUUGAUAGUUCAGUGGUAGAGCCCUUGUCUUGGAUCCGUGAAGCGCUGGGUUCUAUCCUCAGUAUCACAAAA
rnacentral:lncRNA from 1 species